rnacentral:rRNA from 1 species
GAUGAACGCUGGCGGUGUGCCUAAUACAUGCAAGUCGAGCGAACAGACGAGGAGCUUACUCCUCUGACGUUAGCGGCGGACGGGUGAGUAACACGUGGAUAACCUACCUAUAAGACUGGGAUAACUUCGGGAAACCGGAGCUAAUACCGGAUAACAUGUUGAACCGCAUGGUUCAACAGUGAAAGACGGUCUUGCUGUCACUUAUAGAUGGAUCCGCGUCGCAUUAGCUAGUUGGUAAGGUAACGGCUUACCAAGGCAACGAUGCGUAGCCGACCUGAGAGGGUGAUCGGCCACACUGGAACUGAGACACGGUCCAGACUCCUACGGGAGGCAGCAGUAGGGAAUCUUCCGCAAUGGGCGAAAGCCUGACGGAGCAACGCCGCGUGAGUGAAGAAGGUCUUCGGAUCGUAAAACUCUGUUAUUAGGGAAGAACAAAUGUGUAAGCAACUAUGCACGUCUUGACGGUACCUAAUCAGAAAGCCACGGCUAACUACGUG